GAAGAAGGUAAUAUCCUGACCCAGAAUCUAGAAGGAAGACUACAGAAGCGCUUUCACAGCUGGAAAUGCAAGUCCCUUUGUUCAUUUGCAGAGCAAAGUCUUAGUAUUGGCAUCGAGAACCGUAGUGGCUGUCCCUGGUCCUCCUCUACAGACAGAGCCAUCCUCAGUUCUACUCUGACUCAUUUCACUGGGAUUUCUUUUGAAAUAAACCAUUAACUUAAGAUGGGCAGAAUGGUGAGAAAACUCAUGGGGAGGGAGAGCCAUUGUUGAACAUGGACUACUCCUUGCACAGCCAUUUAGAGGUUCAUGCAAAAUAACAAGUGCAACCAGCCGUAGCAGUAAUGGAAUACUGCCAAAACCGUGCUAUCAGAAUGCAGCCCAGCCCAGAAGAGAACUGAAACAGCUCCUUGAUUCCUGUUGGAAACCCUGGAAGUCAGAAUCAAGCACUCACUGUGAGGAAAGUGACCCACCCUCACUGUGUCACCCCCCAUGUGUCACAUUCCCACACGAAGGCCUGGCAGACUUGCAUCUGAAACACUGAAGGGCCGCUCUGACUGAAUUAGAAAUCUCUGCUAACUUGGUUGCCUCCUUCUUAGGUGUGUUGUAAAUGUUUCCAAACAAAUAUCCAUGUCUUCCAGUCUCUUACAGAGCGCACAGAAUAGAAUCAUAGAAGAGAUUGCUUUUAAUUUUUGUAACUAUAUUUCAUUUCUGUCUGAAUAAAAAUAAACUUAUUUCUGUUUAGGCA
rnacentral:lncRNA from 14 species